GGGAAAGUUGAAAAGAACUUUGAAAAGAGAGUUAAAAAGUGCGUGAAACCGUUAGUGGGGAAACGGAUGCAGUUAGCAAUGCUUCGGCGAGAUUCAGGCGGUCACCUGGCUGGACGGGCAGUGUGUGGAUCCGAAUGGACUGUCGCUGCUUGGCUUGGUCUUGUGCUCGUCGCACUUCUCGUCGAAGCGCGUCAACAGCUGCUUGACUUGAGCGAUACGGUGCUCGGGAAGGUAGGCGUGUGUCUUCGGACUUGCGUUGUUAUAGCCCGUGGCAUUCCCAGUUCGAGUUUGGCAGAGGCGAACGGUGCAUGCUCUCUAGGGGGCUGGCGUCCUUCUCUUGAUCGAUUGUCGAGCAUGGCGGACUGCUUGCAGUGCGUCUGAACUGCUGUUGGUCAUUCGGGAGGAUCGCGCACACUAUGCACCUAGGUUGUUGGCGGCCAUAUGGCUUCAUCUGACCCGUCUUGAAACACGGACCAAGGAGUCUAACAUGUGCGCAAGUCUUGGGGUGACCGAAACCCAAAGGCGCAAUGAAAGUAAAGGCUGCCUGGCAGCCGAGGUGAGAUCUUCGUUCCGCGUGUCCGAAGCGCAUCAUCGACCGACCUAUUCUACUCCUAGAAAGGUUUGAGUAAGAGCGCAUCUGUUGGGACC
rnacentral:rRNA from 1 species